AGCUCCAAUAGCGUAUAUUAAAGUUGUUGCGGUUAAAAAGCUCGUAGUUGGAUUUCUACUGAGAAUGGCCGGUCCGCUCUAUGAGCGUGCAUCUGGUUCAGUCUCGGUAUCUUCUCGCAAGACACAUCUGCGCUUGAUUGCGUGGGGUGGACUGCAAGACUUUUACUUUGAGGAAAUUAGAGUGUUCACGGCAGGCAAGCGCCUUGAAUACAUUAGCAUGGAAUAAUAAUAUAGGAUUUCGAUUCUAUUUUGUUGGUUCUAAGGAUUGAAAUAAUGAUUAAUAGGGAUAAUUGGGGGCAUUUGUAUUAACGCGUCAGAGGUGGAAUUCUUGGAUUGCGUUACGACAAACUACUGCGAAAGCAUUUGCCAAGGAUGUUUUCA
rnacentral:rRNA from 1 species